UUGAACGCUGGCGGCAGGCCUAACACAUGCAAGUCGAGCGGAUGAGGGGAGCUUGCUCCUGGAUUCAGCGGCGGACGGGUGCGUAAUGCCUAGGAAUCUGCCUGGUAGUGGGGGAUAACGUCCGGAAACGGGCGCUAAUACCGCAUACGUCCUGAGGGAGAGAGUGGGGGAUCUUCGGACCUCACGCUAUCAGAUGAGCCUAGGUCGGAUUAGCUAGUUGGUGGGGUAAAGGCCUACCAAGGCGACGAUCCGUAACUGGUCUGAGAGGAUGAUCAGUCACACUGGAACUGAGACACGGUCCAGACUCCUACGGGAGGCAGCAGUGGGGAAUAUUGGACAAUGGGCGAAAGCCUGAUCCAGCCAUGCCGCGUGUGUGAAGAAGGUCUUCGGAUUGUAAAGCACUUUAAGUUGGGAGGAAGGGCAGUAAGUUAAUACCUUGCUGUUUUGACGUUACCAACAGAAUAAGCACCGGCUAACUUCGU
rnacentral:rRNA from 1 species